UAGAGGCCUUAAAAAUAAAUAAAUAAAAAUCCUACGUAUAACUAUUUUUGUUAUGCCCCUGUUAAAAUGCUAUUUUAAUGCGUGGAACUUUAAUUCAUAUUCUCUAAUUUGGUUCUGCAGUGAAGGCCAUUCCCUACAUUACACAACACAAUGAGCCAGCAAAAGGAAGUGACAAACUUACUGGUAAACUCAGCAGAACCUGCAAAAAUCAUAGCACACAGCAUUACCCCAUGCUUUUCCUCCAGUACAAGGAGAUGUUGCUUUGGAAAGGUUUUUUUGCAGGCCAAAAGGUAGGCCUAAACCUUUUAUUUACUUCACAAAAUGGGGUCUCAACUUGAAUAUUUACAUGAAGGGACGAAUCAUUGUGGUGAGUUGAAAUGCAGAUGACAGGGGCCAGUGAGUUUUCAGGCCACUACCCUGCAACACAUCUGACCAAACUGGGACAAGCUCAUCCAGUGACUGCAUUCUUCAGGCAAGCAUACCUAAUAUGCCAAUAUAGUGUGAAGAGGCCUUUAUUUAUGGAUAAAGAACCAGGAUUUCUGUUUAUGAUUAACUGUGUGUGGUUAGUCUGUGUACUAGACUUACUUGACGAGCAGGAAAGUUACAUCAGAUAGUAGAACUGGGUCGUACCUACCCUAACUGGGACUACUGAAUGAUCUACGGAAUAAUCACAGGCAUGUGUUAUCAGCGUUCAUAAAUCACACAGCCCUUGUCGGUCUUUGCACAUCAGUCUUGAAUGUGUUUAAAAAGCAAUGACAGCUAUUACCAAACACUUUGUAGUUUACACUACAUCUGGUUGAAGAGGGGGAUAGUUAGUUUAACCAAUUUGUGAUAUAGGCCAUCAGGCUAGUAAAUAAUAACUACAUUGUUUUAACAAAAAGUAUCAAACGCCAGUAUUGUAUAAUCAUUAAAAAAAUAGAAUUUAUAUUCUAUUUUUACGUGUGCACCCCAUCACAUAUCUGCUUCUUCUGAGGGGGUUACAUAAACUUGUCUCGGACACAUUUCACGGUCCACGUGAUCAUUGUUGUUGUUCACCAUGCACUGCUGGCAGACUGCUGCUGUGCUCAGCAUGAGGAAAUUGAUCUAUGGCAGCAUUACACUGCGUGGCAAAACAAGCGUUUAAAGAAAACCAGACGAAAUGAAACCAUGGAAAAAUAACUUCCUGUUGACACGCCGCUUUGAUGCGGCGGACCAAACGCGCUCGGCGUUUAUUUUUCAUUGGUGACGUGAAUACCCAACAUCCGCGCUGCGACUUCACAGAUCUUUACAGCUCGCCCUCCAAUCUGCUCCACGGCCGACAGCCCUGGAGGAUGCGGUCCGACAUGAAGGCCUCUGAUUGGUCGAGACGCCGUCAAUCUAGAGGGAAGGCGUUCCGCGACGCGUCUUAGACGAGUGUGGUAUUAUCCUACAUGUCAGAGGUAUAAACGGUGCUGGACCGGGUUGUGGAUCAUUUUACCCAGAUAAAUAUUAAAUACUUUUUUUAAAAAUCGUCAAUUGACCCAGCAAUUUGUAACUUUGCUGCAAUAAUAUUUUGUGAAAGCGGAGAUGAGAUUAAACCUCUGUCGUCCAUUGCGUCGAGUCUUUUGAGACUUGCAGCCUACAAGCUCUGAUGAGUUUUUCUGAGAUUACGUAAUACUGUUGUCACAUGGCAAAGAGAUUGUCACAAAGUACCUUCACUGAGGUAGCGGUCCCAGAGCCUAAGAUUCAAGGGCACAGUGGAACAGGGUCUUUUGA